rnacentral:sRNA from 1 species
AUCAAUACGAAUUAUAUACGGUUUUUAUGAUUUUAAUUUUUUUUUAUAAAAUAAAUAAUCAAAUUUAAACUAAACUAAAAGAAAUUUGCAAAACUACCCUUUUUUACUACCCUUUUUGCAACAAUAUCUUUUUAUAUUGUUUAUUUAUAAAAAAAAUCCCUUUCCUUGAACAAAAUGACCAAAUUACCCUCAUCUAAUAAGAACAUGUAAUUGGAAACUGAAAGUUGGCGCCAAAAUUUAUUUUUCCCGCCAAAAGAAAAAAUUCCACCAAAUUUCUUUUCCCGCCAAAAAAAUAAAAAUUCCCGCAAAAAAAUAAAAAUUCCCAGCCAAAAAAAUGCUUUUAAAAAUCCUUGUAAAAUUUUUUAAAAACUCUUUUAAAAAACCUUGUAAAGUUUUUUAAAAGUUUUGAUAGUUGCUAAAAACCCUUGUAAAUCAUUUUAAAACCUCUGAAAAUCUUUAUAAAGUCUUUAAAAACAUAAGUAAAUACUUUAAAACCUUUUUUUAAACCUUUGUAAAUUAUUUUAAAACUUUUUACAAUAGUUUUACAAGAUUUACAAUCGUUUUUUAAAUAUAAAUUAGUGACAUUGAACGAUUUACAAGGGAUUUUAAAAGCUUAUAAAAAAUGUAAAACAUGAUUUACAAUCGUUUUAAAGCAUAAGUAAGUGGCAUAAAAUGAUUUACAAGGGAUUUAAAAAAGGUUAGCAUGGUUUACAAUCGUUUUUAGCAUAAGUAAGUGGCAUUGAAUGAUUUACAAGAGAUUUUAAAAGCUUAUAAAAGGGUAAAACAUGAUUUACAAUCGUUUUUAAAGCAUAAGUAGGUGGCAUAUAAUGAUUUACAAGGAUUUUUAAAAAGGGUUAGCAUGGUUUACAAUUUUUUUUUAAGUAUAAGUAAGUGGUAUUGGAAUGAUUUACAAGGGAUUUUAAAAGCUUAUAAAAGGAUAAAACAUGAUUUACAAUCGUUUUUAAAACAUAAGUAAGUGGCAUAAAAUAAUUUACAAGGGAUUCUAAAAGUGUUUGUAUGGUUUACAAUCGUUUUAAAGCAUAAGUAAGUGGCAUUAAAUGAUUUACAAGGGAUUUUAAAAGGGGUUAACAUGAUUUACAAUCGUUUUUAAAGCAUAAGUAAGUGUCAAAGAAUGAUUUACAAUAGAUUUUAAAAAAUGUUUGCAUGGUUUACAAUCGUUUUUAAAGAUAAGUAAGUGGUAUAUAAUGAUUUACAAGGAUUUUAAAAGCUUAUAAAAUGGUAAAACAUGAUUUACAAGAGUUUUUAAAGAGUUUUAAAAGGAUUUACAAGGAUUUUAAACCUUUGUAAAUCCUUUUAAAACUCUUAUAAGUCUUUACAAGCAUUUUUUAACUCUUAGAAAAAAAAUUGUAAGUACUUAAAACAUUUACCUUUUUGAACCAUUUGUGAACUUUUACAAAAGAUUUUAAA